rnacentral:rRNA from 1 species
AUUAAGCAUAUCAAUAAGCGGAGGAAAAGAAACCAACCGGGAUUGCCUCAGUAACGGCGAGUGAAGCGGCAAAAGCUCAAAUUUGAAAUCUGGUACCUUUGGUGCCCGAGUUGUAAUUUGUAGAGGGCUACUCUGGCAAAGGUCCUUGUCUAUGUUCCUUGGAACAGGACGUCAUAGAGGGUGAGAAUCCCGUGUGACGAGGAGUCUGCGUCGUGUAGAGUGCUCUCGAAGAGUCGAGUUGUUUGGGAAUGCAGCUCAAAGUGGGUGGUAAACUCCAUCUAAAGCUAAAUAUUGGCGAGAGACCGAUAGCGAACAAGUACAGUGAUGGAAAGAUGAAAAGAACUUUGAAAAGAGAGUGAAACAGUACGUGAAAUUGUUGAAAGGGAAGGGCAUUUGAUCAGACAUGGUGUUGUGUGGCCUCGCCCCUUGUGGGUGGGGAGCCCCGCGCAGCACUGGGCCAGCAUCAGUUUUGGCGGUGGGAUAAAUCUCUGGGAACGUGGCUUCCUCGGAAGUGUUAUAGCCCAGGGGAAUACUGCCAGCCGGGACUGAGGUCUGCGCAUCUUGCAAGGAUGCUGGCAUAAUGGUUAAAUGCCGCCCGU